rnacentral:rRNA from 1 species
GACGAACCGUCCAAACGUUAUUCGGAAUUACUGGGCGUAAAGGGCGCGUAGGCGGCCAUCUAAGUCAGACGUGAAAUCCCCCGGCUUAACCUGGGAACUGCGUCUGAUACUGGAAGGCUUGAGUAUGGGAGAGGGAUGUAGAAUUCCAGGUGUAGCGGUGAAAUGCGUAGAUAUCUGGAGGAAUACCGGUGGCGAAGGCGGCAUCCUGGACCAUUACUGACGCUGAGGCGCGAAAGCUAGGGGAGCAAACGGG